UACCAUGACCCUCCAACUAUCCCAAAAUCUGAGUUUUGGUUUGUUGUCAUGGUCAUAGAUAAAACUAAGGUGCUAAUAGAAGAGAUGGGCCCCCAGAACCACCUCUACAAUAGAAGGAGUGGAUGUUGGUAAAUCUUUUAAUUAAAAAGCAAUGAAAUUAAUAGAAUGGUGACACUGGUUACUUGAUGAUGGAUAGAUUGUAAGAUAUGAAGAUGGACAAACAUAACAAGAGGAAUUAUGACAAUUAAAAAAAUAACAACAAGAGGAGUCAUUGACAAGUGAAAAUUGCGUGUUAUGCUCAUGACAGAUUUGUAAAAUUUAAUAGAAAGGGGUGUUAAUAAGCGACAGGGGGGGGGGCAAAUUUUUCUGAAAUUUAUACAACGGGGACCCGUCUAUUAGAGACAAUAGAGCAACUAAAUGAAGAAAAUAUUUCCCCAAUAAUCGUACAAAUCUUGGCUACUUUUUAUGUACAUUUGGUAACUUGAGGUGAAGAAAAACCAAAAAAAUUUUAUCUAAGGCACUCCGAGUUUAAUUUUUUGUAGAAAUGAAACUGAUGAAAAAUAAGCAAUACAAUUAUUUCUUUAGAGGGGUUGGAUUGAACCUCUCAACGCAAAAUAAACACACCAACGUCCAAGAUUGUCUCAAUCAUUGAAUUGUUUGAAAUUAUCCGCAACCGUAGAAUGUUUCACCAAUAUUUAGCCUCCCCCUAAAUUUAUUUCAAAAUUUGGUUUGAAAAUAAUAACAAGACGUUGUGGCAAAAAUGUCAGAAGACAGGGCUCCUGACAAUUAUUGGCUGUAGGCAGCUGUUUCCCUAUUUGACCCACUGAUCUAAAAAAAACUGGAUCGCGCAUCUAUUGUUCUAAAAGUGCGGCCGCUGAGAAAUCGCAGCGGCCAUGCUCUUGUGACCACUUUUGCAGACUUGUGGUCUUGUUUACUACGAGGAAAUGCCGGUUCGGACAAGUAAAGUCGAAGUUUCUGUCGUCAAAUAGUGGCAAAGAAUAAAGUGCAAUGGAAUGGCUUGACAGCUAUUGUGGGAUACAAUCAUAUAUAGUUUACUGAGCUAGAACUUCAUAAGUAACAGAUAUUACAAUGAAUAGUAAUUAAAAGAUUGUGACUUUGUUUCAAAUUAAUUUUAAGAUUGUGAUUUAAAAAUUUGA